rnacentral:lncRNA from 1 species
AUUAAUUUUGAAAAAAAAUUGUUUUUUUAUUUACAUAAUUUUUAUCAAUGUUUGGCAAUGUAAUUAUACAGAAAUAAAGCGUCCGGCAUCACCCAGCAUAACCAGUACUCCAAAGAAGAUGAGAAGUGAAACAGUUAAUGUUCCCUUACAAGAUGCUGUUUUCAGUGAACCUAGUACUUCUCAACUAAGGAGUGAGCAAUCUUUAUUGCAAGAUGACUUUUGUAUUAAAGUUUUAGCAAAAAGCAAUAAAACAACUCAAAAAGCAAAGAGUAAUAAAAAAAAACAAAGAAAGAAAGCAAAAAAAAUAAAAAGUCAAAGAAAGAUAAAAGAAAAAAAUAAGAAUAAAGGAAGUGACCUGGAUUACGAUUCUGAUCAAUAUAUUGGAUUAACAGAUAAAGAGAAUAUGACUACUUGGAACGACGAAGUAAGCGGAACAACUAUUAAAAUGAUGCACUUGAGGUACGGUAUCUCAAUACCGUAUAUAACAUGGAAAGAAAUAAAGAAGUUGAAAAGACCUUCUUUAUUUGUUAGACAAUUGAGCCGAGCACUUUGGGGAGUGCACAAAUUGAUGAAUAGAGCUGUGUUGUUGGAAAGAAGUAAAAAUAGAUUGCCCAACCGAUCCCCAAGAAAGCCACUAACACCGGUAAAAAAAGCUGUUUUAAAAAAAUGCUAUUCAGCUUUUAUCGAAAUGCACCACAAGAAAGAAAAAAAACAACUGAUAAAUAAAUGGAGACGUUACUCUUGAGCAUCUACAUAAAUUUUCUUAUUGAAACAGAAAUAAAAGAAGAAAAACAAAGAAAAAGUAUUUGCACAUCAUCCAACUCAUCAGCGUCAUCAAGUUCUUCACACAAUAGCAAUGAUUCAAGUUCCAAUGAAUCAUCAUCAGAUGAUGACUAAAAUAAGCUUAUAAUGAUAUAUUAAUCACGUUUUUAUUUAUAACAUGUUAUAAACAAAUGGCGAUAAUUUAAGUGAUACAUUACAUGUUAUUUUUGAGACUUUCGUUAUAUAAUAAAAUGUUUCUAAACUCUUUGUGAUGAAAUUACAUGAUUUCGUUAUGCGAUUUAACUGGUCAAAAAAAUCGAAAAUAACAUGUAAUUAAUUAUGUGAUUCAACAUACAAUUUAACGAAAAUUGUUUACCAAAGAAUGACGCAAUUCUGGCUUAAACGCUAGUCUGAAUUUUUUAUAUAUGUUUUUUUGGUUUCACAAUUGUUUUUAAUAUUUUUAUGUGCAAAAUGUUUUAUUAUAAAAGAAAUGUUUUUAUAUAAUUAAGAUUUUGAACUAGUCAAUAAGUAAUUCAUACUUUCAUAAUGUAAUUUUAUUACUACAUUUAUCGAGACUACAUAAUGCGUUUUCAAAUGUAAGUAGUUUUAUUUCUUAUCUGGACAAAAAAAACGCAAAACAAACAUGUAAAUUAUCGCAUGCAAGAUACUUUGGACCACAUUAUAAAACUAGUUUAAUGUGGAAAGAAGAACUUGAAUUAUCAGAUGAAAGUCGAACAUAUCGUAAAAUGGUAAAAGAACGAUGUUUGUACACAUCAUCAAGAAGAAAUAUGAUUCGAUCAGAUAAUUCGUAUGCUGUAACAACAGAAGGAGAUUUUAUUCGCAUUAUAGAAUUUAUUAUCGAUAUUCCAACAAGGAAAGAGUACACUAUCUGUCAUUUAGUGAUUAAAGAAGAUAUUUUUAAUAACAAUUCUUUACCAUUGAAAAAAGUUGUAAAUAUUUCUGAUAAUUUAAUAAUAAAAGACACUAACAGCAUUGAAAGAGUUUGCGUUUUUAUGAAUAUAGAUAACAUGAUGUAUAUAUGUCCAGUGCCGAAUCUGUAUUUUUAUUAAUCGUUUUUUACGUAUAAAUGAGAAUUAUGAUGUUAUAAACAAAUGGCGAUAAUUUAAGUAACAGAUUACAUGUUUGGAGGCCUUUUUGUUAUUUAAUAAAAUGUUUCUAAAUUC